rnacentral:rRNA from 1 species
GAUGAACGCUGGCGGCGUGCCUAAUACAUGCAAGUCGAACGAACAGACGAGAAGCUUGCUUCUCUGAUGUUAGCGGCGGACGGGUGAGUAACACGUGGAUAACCUACCUAUAAGACUGGGAUAACUUCGGGAAACCGGAGCUAAUACCGGAUAAUAUUUUGAACCGCAUGGUUCAAAAGUGAAAGACGGUCUUGCUGUCACUUAUAGAUGGAUCCGCGCUGCAUUAGCUAGUUGGUAAGGUAACGGCUUACCAAGGCAACGAUGCAUAGCCGACCUGAGAGGGUGAUCGGCCACACUGGAACUGAGACACGGUCCAGAAUCCUACGGGAGGCAGCAGUAGGGAAUCUUCCGCAAUGGGCGAAAGCCUGACGGAGCAACGCCGCGUGAGUGAUGAAGGUCUUCGGAUCGUAAAACUCUGUUAUUAGGGAAGAACAUAUGUGUAAGUAACUGUGCACAUCUUGACGGUACCUAAUCAGAAAGCCACGGCUAACUACGU